UCUUUCGAAAAGGAAAAAAAACCAUGCUCCCGGUUCGGUUUUUUCAUCCAGUAUUUUUCGUCUGGUUUUUUCGUGAAAAAAAAGUUUGUCAAAAACUAUCGACAUGGGAUCUAGUUUUGAAGAUAUCGACGCGAAAAAUCCAAUAAUAAAAACGCUUCGAGAUUUAGACGCACGGUUAAAAAAUAAAAUGUUUUGAAUAAACGAAUCUAGAAAAAAGAAAAAACUCCCAGAUUACAACAAAUGGCGCUGUGCACCAUUUGUCACGAUCUGGGGAAGUGAAAUGUUCUUUGCAACUUGCAACUACUCCUUAAUUAAUUAUUAAUUAAUUAGUGAUUUCGCCUAGCCAUGGCCGACGCCACUCCUGUCCGCUCCGCUCCACAGGGUGAGCGCUCGGCGAGGGCGGCGGAACCUCGCCGGCGACGACCUUCGCCCAUCGCUCACCUCAUCUCAGGGUGUCAUCGUCGGCGGCGGCGGAAGGAGGCAACCCUUUCCGCGUCGUUGGUUGGUUCCCUGCGGCGAAGGAGGCCGCCUCGUUGGUUGGAUCCCCGCGGUGGAGUGAGGCAAGCCCGUCCUCGUCCUUGGUUCGAUCCCGGCGGCGGAGGGAGUCAACCCCGUCCGCCUCGUUGGUUGGUUCCCGGCUGUGGUGGGAGGCAGCCCUGUCUGCCUUGUCGGUUGCUUCCUCGUGAGACGUGCCUGCAACUGCUUCCAGUAGGAGGUGAAGGGAGGCAGCAAAGUUACCUGCAGCAGGGGAGGCCAAAUCCUCCAAGCGAGCACAUUACUCGAGGAACCUCGCCGGCGACGACUGUGCCCAUCGGCCAUCGCAUCUGAGGGGUUGUUGUUGUUGGCGGCGGCGGAGGUGGGCUACCCUGUCUGCGUCCUUUCCGGCCUCGGAGGGAGGCAACCCUGUCCGUGUCCUCGUUUGGUUCCCGCUGUUGGCGGAGGGAGGAAACCCUAUCCGCCUUGUAGGUUGCUUCCUGGUUGCGUGGCAGAGGCAGACAGCCCCAUCCUCGUCGUACGUUGCUUCCUGGUGACAGCAAAGGAGUUGAGGUGUUGGUCCCAGCAGCUGGCAAUGGGAGUGAGCCGUGUCUGCAGCUGCUUGCUGUAGGAGGUGAAAGGAUCCAUCAGAGUUACCUGGUGCAGGGUGAGAAAGGGGACGGCCAAAUCCUGCAGCUACCACCAUGUUGACCUCAAGACAGGCUGAUCGGGAGCUGAAGAAGUUUGAGGAAGCACAACGUGAAGCUGAAAGAGUAGCUUUCGUCUAAUCUUUGAAGGCAAUUUCUGCUGAGCUUCUAACAUUUUGGCUUCCCAUAGAGCCAUCGGCUGCGGAUUUUAUGCGUUUGAUCCAGUCGCAACAGGAGAGAUAUUUCAACAUUUCAUCUUUGCUCCUUUCCAUUACAAAAGAGGACGGCAAGUCUGAAACAAAGGUUCCGGUAACGCCAAAAAGCCAGGAAGAGCCCGACAAGCAAUCCUUUCACUCAAUAUCAAUAAGGUGUGAUGAUGGAGCCGUCUUGGAAAUUUUAAUACGUGAAAACGAUAACUAUGUUGUUGGUUUUCGUGUAUAUCUCAACAUCGAGGCUAGGAAUGAAACCCCGUGGAGAACCUUUGGUGUGAAGUUGCCUAGCCGAUUGUGGGUAUCUGAGCCAACAAAGUAUAAGUCUCAACAUGGGGAACUGGAAAAGGUGCAAUUUGGUCAAGGAAUUCUCUUGAAAAUUGUCGAUUUUCUUAAAGAUCUUCAACGUCAUCCUGACCAAGAAAUGACAGACUUAGGCCAGAGAUAUGUUUGCACACUCUUCCUCUUGUUUGGCGAGGCACAGAGAUUUGCCAAGGCCAGGCAGUGGGUUCUUGAUGCUGUUGACAGUCCCAUUGCGUUGACGAACCUGUAUGGAGUUGUCAAAGACAGGAAUGGAGUUGUAUGUGGCUAUGUGGGAGGAAAGGAAUUUGUUGUUCAAGUACAAAGGAAGGUUUGAGCAUCAAGCAGGCUAUGUCAAUCCCUAUGAAGAUGUUGUCAAGAUUGCAAAAGAAGCGUGUAUACGGAAGGAGCAAGAGCACCAUGCGACGAACCUGUGCUUCCGUUCAAGGCCAACUGCGGAGGUUGAUUUGUUGUUGUUG